GUUGGUGAUUCAUUGCAGGGGCCACACCUCUUCCCAUUCCGAACAGAGAAGUUAAGCCCUGUUAAGCCGAUGAUAGCUUUAAUAGCAAAAGUAGGUUGUCGCCAACA
rnacentral:rRNA from 3 species